UGGAAGGCUGUGGCCACCAGCCUGAGAGGACAAAAGGAGAAGAGGCAAGAACAGAGUUUGUCUAGAAAAUGUCAUCCUGAGUGAGGUAACCCAGACACAAAAGAACACACAUGUUUGGAUCUGAAGUAUCUCCUGAGGCUGGAUGGAUAGAGGCUCAAUUACCUGCCUGGACUCUGUGGGUUCACUCUACAAUACGCUCCCUCAUCCCAGGCCCAAUGUCCAGUAAAGUCAAGCAAGUAUAGAUUAAAAACUAUGAAACCAUGAGGUACAAUAAAUCUUUUUUCCUGUAUGUUGCUGAAAAUAAAAGCAGCUGAUAAAAUUCAAGACCAAAUAAAAGGAUCAAAUUGCAUGCAAUAAAAAUUACACAUUAACUACAACUUUUCUCAUGGAAAAUCACAGGUGUAACUACGUGAAUACCAUCAUGAAGGUGCUGAUCAAACUGCACUUGAUAUUCAUGACAAGGAAACAGAACUCUACAGAAUAAGUCAGUUAGCACCUUCUGGAAAUUGUUAGCGAAAGGCAGCAAAGUUUUCUAAAACAUUGCUUCCCUGUCAGUAGCUAACAUGGAAAAAUUAAAAGUAUCUUCAUUGCAAAAAGCUUACUUUCUCAGACAGAGAUGGUGCCCAUGCUUCUAUGGUAUUAGACAGUUAAAGCAUAUCUACAAAAUAAUAUGUUCAGUUUAAUUUUGCUAACUAAAACUAAAAGCCUAAAAUAUCUGAAUAUUAUUCAUUUGGGAAUAUACAAUAAUUCAUGAAAGUGACAAUCAAGUGUGGCCAGAAGUACUUUAUGUACCUCUCUGAGCAAGAAAUUUAUGAAGAAUUCCCGGGAAAAGUAAUGGAAAACUACAACUAUCAUGUCAUGUCAUAAAAAGUAAAUAAUCUACUACUAUACUGAAGGCAGCUAUGUGUCAAGACUUGAAGACACCAAAUAAGCUACUGAGAUAAUUUUAGGAACUACAUAUUUAAUAUGAGAUUGCACAGAAGAAAUAGAAAUGGAUCAAAACUGGAGCUAAUAUUGAAGAGAUGUUGCCAAUGGACUAAAUCCAUAUAUUGAAGAAAGG
rnacentral:lncRNA from 1 species